ANANCAAUUACNAAGCGAAACUGCGAAUGGCUCAUUAUAUAAGUUAUCGUUUAUUUGAUAGUACCUUACUACAUGGAUAACCGUGGUAAUUCUAGAGCUAAUACAUGCUGAAAAUCCCGACUUCGGAAGGGAUGUAUUUAUUAGAUUCAAAACCAAUGCCCUUCGGGGCUCCAAUGGUGAUUCAUGAUAACUUCUCGAAUCGCACGGCCCCGCGCCGGCGAUGGUUCAUUCAAAUUUCUUCCCUAUCAACUUUCGAUGCUACGGUAGUGUCCUAGCAUGGUUGCAACGGGUAACGGGGAAUA
rnacentral:rRNA from 1 species